rnacentral:piRNA from 1 species
GCCGUGGAUCAGGAUCGUUGGUUGUGGAG